rnacentral:rRNA from 1 species
GAUUAUGGCUCAGGAUGAACGCUAGCGGCAGGCUUAACACAUGCAAGUCGAGGGGCAGCGGGAUGUAGCAAUACAUUGCCGGCGACCGGCGGAUGGGUGCGUAACGCGUAUGCAACCUACCUUAUACAGGGGAAUAACCUUUCGAAAGGGAGACUAACACCCCAUAGUAUUGAUUUAAGGCAUCUUAGAUUAAUUAAAUAUUUAUAGGUAUAAGAUGGGCAUGCGUAUGAUUAGCUAGUUGGUAAGGUAACGGCUUACCAAGGCGACGAUCAUUAGGGGUUCUGAGAGGAAGGUCCCCCACACUGGUACUGAGACACGGACCAGACUCCUACGGGAGGCAGCAGUGAGGAAUAUUGGUCAAUGGGCGCAAGCCUGAACCAGCCAUGCCGCGUGCAGGGAAAGGCGGCCUUAUGGGUUGUAAACUGCUUUUACAUAAGACUAACCGUAUAUUUGCGAAUAUACCUGAAUGUAUUAUGAGAAUAAGGAUCGGCUAACUCCGUGCCAGCCGCUGC